rnacentral:rRNA from 1 species
GUCAGAUCGACGAUUCCUACGGGAGGCAGCAGCUAAGAAUCUUCCGCAAUGGGCGAAAGCCUGACGGAGCGACGCCGCGUGGACGAAGAAGGCCGGAAGGUUGUAAAGUCCUUUUCCUGGGGGAGAAUAAUGCGGGGAGGGAAUGCCCUGCAGAUGACGUGAACCAGGGAAUAAGCCCCGGCUAAUUACGUGCCAGCAGCCGCGGUAACACGUAAGGGGCGAGCGUUGUUCGGAUUUAUUGGGCGUAAAGGGCGUGUAGGCGGUAGUGCAAGUCUGGUGUGAAAGGCCCCGGCUCAACCGGGGAAGCGCGCUGGAAACUGUGCUGCUAGAGUUUAGGAGGGGAAGCUGGAAUUCCUGGUGUAGGGGUGAAAUCUGUAGAGAUCAGGAAGAACACCGGAGGCGAAGGCGAGCUUCUGGCCAUAGACUGACGCUGAGGCGCGAAAGCGUGGGGAGCAAACAGGAUUAGAUACCCUGGUAGUCCACGCUGUAAACGAUGUGCACUAGGUGUUGGGGGUAUGAACUCUCGGUGCCGGAGCUAACGCGUUAAGUGCACCGCCUGGGGAGUACGCCGGCAACGGUAAAACUCAAAGGAAUUGACGG